GGGCAAGUGGCGGAACUGGUAGACGCGCAGGCUUGAGGGGCCUGUGGCCAUUGCGGUCGUGGAGGUUCGAGUCCUCUCUUGCCCACCA
rnacentral:tRNA from 1 species